AGCUCCAAUAGCGUAUAUUAAAGUUGUUGCAGUUAAAAAGCUCGUAGUUGGAUGUGUUGGGGCUCGGAGGUGCCGUCCAUUAACUUGGUUCUGUCGCCUCCUCCCCAUCCUUGGGAGGAUCCUGUGUGGCAUUAGGUUGUCGUGCGGGGGAUUUCCAUCGUUUACUGUGAAAAAAUUAGAGUGUUCAAAGCAGGCUUAGGCCGUUGAAUAUAUUAGCAUGGAAUAAUGAGAUAGGUCUAAGGUCCUAUUUUGUUGGUUUGCGGUCCUUAGAAAUGAUUAACAGGGACAGUUGGGGGUAUUCGUAUUCCAUUGUCAGAGGUGAAAUUCUUGGAUUUUUGGAAGACGGACUACUGCGAAAGCAUUUACCAAGGAUGUUUUCA
rnacentral:rRNA from 1 species